UUGGAGGGCAAGUCUGGUGCCAGCAGCCGCGGUAAUUCCAGCUCCAAUAGCGUAUAUUAAAGUUGUUGCAGUUAAAAAGCUCGUAGUUGAAUUUCGGGGUUAGUAGGUCGGUCGUGCCUCAGGUAUGUACUGAUCUCACUGAUUCCUCCUUCCUGAUGAACCGUAAUGCCAUUAAUUUGGUGUUGCGGGGAAACUGGACUGUUACUUUGAAAAAAUUAGAGUGUUUAAAGCAGGCUAACGCUUGAAUACAUUAGCAUGGAAUAAUGAAAUAGGACGUUCGAUCCUAUUUUGUUGGUUUCUAGGAUUGACGUAAUGAUUAAUAGGGAUAGUUGGGGGCAUUAGUAUUCAAUUGUCAGAGGUGAAAUUCUUGGAUUUAUUGAAGACUAACUACUGCGAAAGCAUUUGCCAAGGAUGUUUUCAUUAAUCAAGAACGAAAGUUAGGGGGUCGAAGACGAUCAGAUACCGUCGUAGUCUUAACCAUAAACUAUGCCGACUAGGGAUCGGAUGAUGUUAAUUUUUUAAUGACUCAUUCGGCGCCUUACGGGAAA
rnacentral:rRNA from 1 species